AGAGUUUGAUCCUGGCUCAGAGUGAACGCUGGCGGCGUGCCUAAUACAUGCAAGUCGAACGAUGAAGCUCUAGCUUGCUAGAGUGGAUUAGUGGCGCACGGGUGAGUAAUGCAUAGAUAACAUGCCCUUUAGUCUAGGAUAGCCAUUGGAAACGAUGAUUAAUACUGGAUACUCCUUACGAGGGAAAGUUUUUCGCUAAAGGAUUGGUCUAUGUCCUAUCAGCUUGUUGGUGAGGUAAUGGCUCACCAAGGCUAUGACGGGUAUCCGGCCUGAGAGGGUGAACGGACACACUGGAACUGAGACACGGUCCAGACUCCUACGGGAGGCAGCAGUAGGGAAUAUUGCUCAAUGGGGGAAACCCUGAAGCAGCAACGCCGCGUGGAGGAUGAAGGUUUUCGGAUUGUAAACUCCUUUUGUUAGAGAAGAUAAUGACGGUAUCUAACGAAUAAGCACCGGCUAACUCCGUGCCAGCAGCCGCGGUAAUACGGAGGGUGCAAGCGUUACUCGGAAUCACUGGGCGUAAAGAGCGCGUAGGCGGGAUAGCAAGUCAGAUGUGAAAUCCUAUGGCUUAACCAUAGAACUGCAUUUGAAACUGUUAUUCUAGAGUAUGGGAGAGGUAGGUGGAAUUCUUGGUGUAUGGGUAAAAUCCGUAGAGAUCAAGAGGAAUACUCAUUGCGAAGGCGACCUGCUAGAACAUAACUGACGCUGAUGCGCGAAAGCGUGGGGAGCAAAUAGGAUUAGAUACCCUGGUAGUCCACGCCCUAAACGAUGAAUGCUAGUUGUUGUGGAGCUUGUCUCUGCAGUAAUGCAGCUAACGCAUUAAGCAUUCCGCCUGGGGAGUACGGUCGCAAGAUUAAAACUCAAAGGAAUAGACGGGGACCCGCACAAGCGGUGGAGCAUGUGGUUUAAUUCGAAGAUACACGAAGAACCUUACCUAGGCUUGACAUUGAUAGAAUCCGCUAGAGAUAGUGGAGUGCUAGCUUGCUAGAACUUGAAAACAGGUGCUGCACGGCUGUCGUCAGCUCGUGUCGUGAGAUGUUGGGUUAAGUCCCGCAACGAGCGCAACCCUCGUCCUUAGUUGCUAACUAUUCGGUAGAGCACUCUAAGGAGACUGCCUUCGCAAGGAGGAGGAAGGUGAGGAUGACGUCAAGUCAUCAUGGCCCUUACGCCUAGGGCUACACACGUGCUACAAUGGGAAGCACAAAGAGAUGCAAUAUUGUGAAAUGGAGCAAAUCUAUAAAACUUCUCUCAGUUCGGAUUGUAGUCUGCAACUCGACUACAUGAAGCUGGAAUCGCUAGUAAUCGUAAAUCAGCUAUGUUACGGUGAAUACGUUCCCGGGUCUUGUACUCACCGCCCGUCACACCAUGGGAGUUGUAUUCGCCUUAAGUCGGAAUGCCAAACUGGCUACCGCCCACGGCGGAUGCAGCGACUGGGGUGAAGUCGUAACAAGGUAACC
rnacentral:rRNA from 1 species